AAAAAUCAAAAAAUACAAAAAUCAAAAAAUCAAAAAAUCAAAAAAUACAAAAAUCAAAAAAUACAAAAAUCAAAAAAUCAAAAAAUACAAAAAUCAAAAAAUCAAAAAAUACAAAAAUCAAAAAAUACAAAAAUCAAAAAAUCAAAAAAUGCAAAAAUCAAAAAAUACAAAAACUGUUUUUGUGCUGUCGCGUCUGGGCCACCGUAGAGUAGAGGUAACACAACUUUUGACAUUUUGUAGUAGUUUUCAUAUGAACAAAUUAAUCCCAUUGGGGGGGGGGGGGUGGUGGAGUAACAUAAUCGGUCCCCAAUGGUUACAUAGCUGGUCCAAAGUCUUCAGGUUUUGGUGGGCAUCGCCACAACAAUUUUUUGCCAGCAAGCAAAAUUUGCCCGAUAAUGUAAAGGUGAUGCCUGCAGAGGAGGCUAGUUCAUGUCAAUGUGGAAGCACAGCAAAGAUGGCGGAUGCCUAUUUUUUAGCUCUAUUAAAUUUUACUUUAUUUGUCACAUUUUUGACAAUCAACUUUUGAC